ACGUUAAAUAGCGGCGUCCAUCGUACUCGGGCCCGGGAAUUCUACUCAUUCUAGGGUUACGCAGGUCCGGCGACGGCCCGAGCGCCGCUCCGCUCAACUGCUGUCAGAUCGGGAAGCGUAAUCUCUGUGUUUGCGACAUCCAUCGAUUGCCAUCUUCAUCUCGCACGAGAAGCUGUGCGGUUUCCCAGAGUCCGCUGCUGAUUUUAUAGGGAGGGAAGGCGGAGCUGCGUGUAUCGGAGGGGAAGGGCCGGCACCAUGAAAGCGGCAGGUAGAAAGAAUAUUAGGAGGGCGUCGAAGGAGGACGGUAUUUCGCUCCGAGAAGGCCAGGGCAUCAUGAAAGUUGUGUCUCUUCGCGGCUCCAACGUUAUCGAGGUCAUGGAUGCCAAAGGUGUUAAAUCUCUCGCUUUAUUUCCAGCCAAAUUUCAGAAGAGCUUUUGGAUUAAAACAGGAAGUUUCGUUGUGGUAGAUGAAAGUGGAAGGGAGAAAGCCCUUGAGUCAGGUAGCAAGAUAGCAUGUAUGGUUUCACAAGUUCUCUUCCAUGACCAAGUUCGAGCACUUGAAAAAUCUUUGGACUGGCCUGCUAUAUUCAGAACCGCAACACCUGAUGAUAGCCACCAAGAGUCGAAAUCACAAUGCAAAGAAGAAACGGGUUCUGAUAGUGAGGAUGGCCUCCCACCACUCGAAGCAAAUCUGAACAGAAAUAGGCCUAUCGAGCUGUAUUCCGAUAGCGAUUCAGAUUCUUGUCCUGCUUCCUAGCACACUAUCGAUCAGUUGAAGGGACAAUUUCUUUGAUGUAUUUUGAUGUCCGUAACACUGCUUGUCUUUGAAAGAUGGUGAUGGACUGCUUAUUCUGCCCGAAUUGGACUGAAUCAGGAGUCCUGUGUUCUCUUACACUUGUGUUGGAUACUGAAAUCACUCGUCACACUUGUGUGGCCGUGAUGGGAUUACCUUUCAAAUUGGACCUACCAAAGCGCAUCAUACGAGCACAACGGGAGAUAAGGUGAACGUAGGCCAUCGAUGAAUUCGUGGUUAAUUGGAUCGGUGUCUUGGUUGCAUGAGCUGCUAGUCCGAUCUCCAAUCGUAUCGAUGGUUUAAUGGUUUUAAAUCAAGUUAGAGUCGGGUUUUGAUGGUU